UGAGAAAAGCAGAAGUGAGAACUUCUCGCCUUGCGACUGACGUUGUCUGGCUCUACAGGAUUCAAGUUUCAGUGAUGAACGAUUAUCAUGUAGUGCGGAUUUGCGUUAGCAGGUCCGCACUUGUUUUUCUCG
rfam:Streptococcus sp. DD11 genomic scaffold scaffold00002, whole genome shotgun sequence.